GGCCCGGUGGCGGAUGGUUUCCGCGCCCGCACCUCAUACAUACUUCGACACUAUGAGUCUGUUUGCGGGAUAAGCCCGUUCGAUUCGGGCCCGGGGCC